rnacentral:rRNA from 1 species
CCGCGUGGGUGAUGAAGGCCUUCGGGUCGUACAACUCUGUCCUCAAGUGCGGUAAUGACGGUACUUGCGGAGGAAUGUCCGGCUAACUACGCGCCAGCAGCCGCGUUAUUACGUAGUGGGCUAGCCUUAUCCUGUUUUACUGGGCGUAAAGGGUGCGUAGGCGGUCUUUCAAGUCAGGAGUGAAAGGCUACGGCUCAACCGUAUUAAGCUCUUGAAACUGGGUGACUUGCGUGCAGGAGAGGAGAGUGGAAUUCCUAGUGUAGCGGUGAAAUGCGUGGAUAUUAGGGGGAAAACCAGUUGCGAAGGCGGCUCUCCGGACGGUAACUGACGCUGAGGCACGAAGGGGGGGGGGGCAAACAGGCUUGGAUACCCGGUUAGUCCACGCGGUAAACGGUGCUUCUUAGUGGCCGGGGGUUACCCCCCUCGGUUCCGCAGCUACCG